rnacentral:rRNA from 1 species
AACAAACGCUAGCGGCAUGCUUUACACAUGCAAGUCGAACGGAGAUAGUUUACUAUCUUAGUGGCAAACGGGUGAGUAACGCGUAGGAAUCUACCUUUUAGUGGGGGAUAACCAACGGAAACGUUGGCUAAUACCGCAUAUUCUCAGAAAUGAGGAAAGAUUUAUUGCUAAAAGAUGAGCCUGCGUCAGAUUAGAUAGUUGGUGAGGUAAUGGCUCACCAAGUCAACGAUCUGUAGCUGGUCUGAGAGGAUGAUCAGCCACACUGGGAUUGAGAUACGGCCCAGACUCCUACGGGAGGCAGCAGUGGGGAAUAUUGGACAAUGGGGGAAACCCUGAUCCAGCAAUGUCGCGUGAAUGAAGAAGGCCUUUGGGUUGUAAAGUUCUUUUACUUGUGAAGAUGAUGACUGUAGCAAGAGAAUAAGGUCCGGCUAACUUCGUGCCAGCAGCCGCGGUAAUACGAAGGGAUCAAGCGUUGUUCGGAAUGACUGGGCGUAAAGGGUGCGUAGGCGGCUAUUUAAGUAAGAUGUUAAAGAUCUAGGCUCAACCUAGAGAGUGCGUCUUAAACUGAAUAGCUAGAGUAUGAGAGAGGAAAGUGGAAUUCCUAGUGUAGAGGUGAAAUUCGCAGAUAUUAGGAGGAAUACCGGAGGCGAAGGCGGCUUUCUGGAUCAUUACUGACGCUGAGGCACGAAAGCGUGGGGAGCGAAAAGGAUUAGAGACCCUUGUAGUCCACGCCCUAAACGAUGAGUACUAGACGUUGGAUUUUUCCAGUGUCGCAGCUAACGCAUUAAGUACUCCGCCUGAGGAAUACGGUCGCAAGACUAAAACUUAAAGGAAUUGACGGGGACCCGCACAAGCGGUGGAGCAUGUGGUUUAAUUCGAAGAUACGCGAAAAACCUUACCGGCUCUUGACAUAGGGAUUUUAAAUUUAAGAGAUUAGAUUUUUCAGUUCGGCUGGAUCCUAUACAGGUGCUGCAUGGCUAUCGUCAGUUCGUGUCGUGAGAUGUUGGGUUAAGUCCCUAAACGAACGCAACCCUUUUUCUUAGUUGCUACAGGUUAUGCUGAGAACUUUAAGAAGACUGCCGAUGAUUUAAAUCGGAGGAAGGUGAGGAUGACGUUAAGUCCUCAUGGCCCUUAUGGGCCGGGCUACACACGUGCUACAAUGGUAACUACAAAGAGAUGCAAUAGGGUGACCUGGAGCUAAUCUUUAAAGGUUAUCUCAGUUCGGAUUGUUCUCUGCAACUCGAGAACAUGAAGUUGGAAUCGCUAGUAAUCGUAGAUCAGCAUGCUACGGUGAAUACGUUCACGGGUCUUGUACACACCGCCCGUCAAGCCAUGGGAGUUGGGGUUGCUUUAAAGCGAUGAGCUAACCGUAAGGAGGCAGUCGUUCACAGCAAAAUCAGUGACUGGGGCUAAGUCGUAACAAGGUAGCCGUAGGGGAACCUGCGGCUGGAUCACCUCCUUU